UAUAUAUAUUGGCAAAUUUAGAGAAAUCUAAAGACGCAAAGCUAAAGGAGCUAAGGUUUAAAACUAUGCUAGCCAGUUGCUAAA
rfam:Clostridium paraputrificum strain 373-A1 CP373A1_18, whole genome shotgun sequence.